ACGCUGGCGGCAGGCUUAACACAUGCAAGUCGAACGGUAACAGGGAUUAGCUUGCUAAUUUGCUGACGAGUGGCGGACGGGUGAGUAAUGCUUGGGAAUCUGGCUUAUGGAGGGGGAUAACUACGGGAAACUGUAGCUAAUACCGCGUAAUAUCGGAAGAUUAAAGGGUGGGACUUUCGAGCCACCUGCCAUAAGAUGAGCCCAAGUGGGAUUAGGUAGUUGGUUAGGUAAAGGCUGACCAAGCCGACGAUCUCUAGCUGGUCUGAGAGGAUGACCAGCCACACUGGAACUGAGACACGGUCCAGACUCCUACGGGAGGCAGCAGUGGGGAAUAUUGCACAAUGGGGGGAACCCUGAUGCAGCCAUGCCGCGUGAAUGAAGAAGGCCUUCGGGUUGUAAAGUUCUUUCGGUGACGAGGAAGGUUGAUAGGUUAAUAGCCUAUCAAAUUGACGUUAAUCACAGAAGAAGCACCGGCUAACUCCGUGCCAGCAGCCGCGGUAAUACGGGGGGUGUGAGCGUUAAUCGGAAUAACUGGGCGUAAAGGGCACGCAGGCGGUGACUUAAGUGAGAUGUGAAAGCCCCGAGCCUAACUUGGGAAUUGCAUUUCAUACUGGGUCGCUAGAGUACUUUAGGGAGGGGUAGAAUUCCACGUGUAGCGGUGAAAUGCGUAGAGAUGUGGAGGAAUACCGAAGGCGAAGGCAGCCCCUUGGGAAUGUACUGACGCUCAUGUGCGAAAGCGUGGGGAGCAAACAGGAUUAGAUACCCUGGUAGUCCACGCUGUAAACGAUGUCGAUUUGGGGAUUGGGCUUUGAGCUUGGUGCCCGUAGCUAACGUGAUAAAUCGACCGCCUGGGGAGUACGGCCGCAAGGUUAAAACUCAAAUGAAUUGACGGGGGCCCGCACAAGCGGUG
rnacentral:rRNA from 1 species